UACGUAGGGACCAAGCGUUGUUCGGAUUUACUGGGCGUAAAGGGCGCGUAGGCGGCGUGACAAGUCACUUGUGAAAUCUCUGAGCUUAACUCAGAACGGCCAAGUGAUACUGUUGUGCUAGAGUGCAGAAAGGGCAAUCGGAAUUCUUGGUGUAGCGGUGAAAUGCGUAGAUAUCAAGAGGAACACCUGAGGCGAAGGCGGGGUUGCUAGGCUGACACUGACGCUGGAGGCGCGAAAGCUAGGGUAGCAAACGGG
rnacentral:rRNA from 1 species